rnacentral:rRNA from 1 species
CAUGCCUGCGGAGAGAACCAACAGGGAUUGCCUCAGUAACGGCGAGUGAAGCGGCAACAGCUCAAAUUUGAAAUCUGGCCCUCGGGUCCGAGUUGUAAUUUGUAGAGGAUGCUUUUGGCGCGGUGCCUUCCGAGUUCCCUGGAACGGGACGCCUUAGAGGGUGAGAGCCCCGUACGGUUGGACACCAAGCCUCUGUAAAGCUCCUUCGACGAGUCGAGUAGUUUGGGAAUGCUGCUCUAAAUGGGAGGUAAAUUUCUUCUAAAGCUAAAUAUUGGCCAGAGACCGAUAGCGCACAAGUAGAGUGAUCGAAAGAUGAAAAGCACUUUGAAAAGAGGGUUAAAUAGCACGUGAAAUUGUUGAAAGGGAAGCGUUUGCGACCAGACCUUUUCCUGGCGGAUCAUCCGGUGUUCUCACCGGUGCACUUCGCCAGGUCGAGGCCAGCAUCGGUUUCCGCGGGGGGAUAAAAGCUCUGGGAACGUAGCUCCUCCGGGAGUGUUAUAGCCCUCUGCACAAUACCCCCGCGGGGACCGAGGACCGCGCUCUAAGCAAGGAUGCUGGCGUAAUGGUUGUCAACGACCCGUCUUGAAACACGGACCAAGGAGUCGAACAUUUGUGCGAGUGUUUGGGUGUCAAACCCUCACGCGUAAUGAAGGUGAACGUAGGUGAGAGCCCUUACGGGUGCAUCAUCGACCGAUCCUGAUGUCUUCGGAUGGAUUUGAGUAAGAGCAUAACUGUUCGGACCCGAAAGAUGGUGAACUAUGCGUGGAUAGGGUGAAGCCAGAGGAAACUCUGGUGGAGGCUCGCAGCGGUUCUGACGUGCAAAUCGAUCGUCAAAUCUGCGCAUGGGGGCGAAAGACUUAUCGAACCAUCUAGUAGCUGGUUACCGCCGAAGUUUCCCUCAGGAUAGCAGUGUUGUUCUUCAGUUUUAUGAGGUAAAGCGAAUGAUUAGGGACUCGGGGGCGCUUUUUUGCCUUCAUCCA